rnacentral:lncRNA from 1 species
UGGUUCUUAUGUUUUUAAAACAUAUGUCUUCCUACUGAUUGAGAUAAUAACUCAAAAACUAGCCCGAAGGCUCUUUGGAAAUCUCAGUUUCCAACCUUGUUUAAAUGUAAAAACAUUUCUUUAAAACUUCUUUGGGAAUACAUAGUUCCCUAAUAACUUUGAGAAAUGAACUCAACUUUAUGUUCUUGACUUAACUUGAAAAUCUAUAAUCUUUGCUUGAC